CCGGGGAGCAGAGGAGCUCCAGUCUUGCCGCGGCGACUCCAGCGUGCUUUAACUCUAGUUUUAAACCGAUAUCUUUUUUUUUUCUCUAUAAUAUCAAAUGAGUCAACCAACCAGUGCAUUAUGAUCGAAUGGUCGCAUUGGCCCAGGCGCAUGUAAGAAAGGGGCCCAGUCCUUCAUUAUCGACUUACUCAGUGCAUUGCCAUGGCAGUAACAGUCGCCCCGUAAUGUCUGGGCAACAUUGCAUCAUGCUUAGAGUUCCACCAGAGAAAUAAGAGGCAUGCACUCCGAGAGAUGAGAUAGUCUUGGAUAGAAAUGCUGGGAAGGGAUGGAGGAUUGCAGCAGCUCUACUGUAUCCCAUUCUUGUCCAACCCCUUUCUUCUUGACGGUUAGUUGCCUUUUAGCCCCACUUUUCGAAAUAUUUCGGCCUGUGGUCUCUAUCCAAUUCAUUUCGAUUAAUUAAUCGAA